rnacentral:rRNA from 1 species
CCUACGGGUGGCAGCAGUCGAGAAUCAUUCACAAUGGGGGAAACCCUGAUGGUGCGACGCCGCGUGGGGGAAUGAAGGUCUUCGGAUUGUAAACCCCUGUCAUGUGGGAGCAAAUUAAAAAGAUAGUACCACAAGAGGAAGAGACGGCUAACUCUGUGCCACCAGCCGCGGUAAUACAGAGGUCUCAAGCGUUGUUCGGAAUCACUGGGCGUAAAGCGUGCGUAGGCUGUUUCGUAAGUCGUGUGUGAAAGGCGCGGGCUCAACCCGCGGACGGCACAUGAUACUGCGAGACUAGAGUAAGGGAGGGGGAACCGGAAUUCUCGGUGUAGCAGUGAAAUGCGUAGAUAUCGAGAGGAACACUCGUGGCGAAGGCGGGUUCCUGGACAUUAACUGACGCUGAGGCACGAAGGCCAGGGGAGCGAAAGGGAUUAGAUACCCCUGUAGUC